rnacentral:rRNA from 1 species
UACGUAGGUGGCAAGCGUUAUCCGGAUUUAUUGGGCGUAAAGGGAACGCAGGCGGUCUUUUAAGUCUGAUGUGAAAGCCUUCGGCUUAACCGGAGUAGUGCAUUGGAAACUGGGAGACUUGAGUGCAGAAGAGGAGAGUGGAACUCCAUGUGUAGCGGUGAAAUGUGUAGAUAUAUGGAAGAACACCAGUGGCGAAAGCGGCUCUCUGGUCUGUAACUGACGCUGAGGUUCGAAAGCGUGGGUAGCAAACAGG